UGGUCCAUCCUAAUCCCUGCUGGCCCCCUGUGGCCUGCCAGGUUUCGCUUGUGGACUAGAGCACCCUAGAAGCUUCACCCAGAGAGUGAGCAGAGCUUCAGCUAGCUCAUGUCACGGAUGCUUCUAGACAUUA
ensembl:snoRNA SNORA52 small nucleolar RNA, H/ACA box 52